ACGGGUGAGUAAUGUCUGGGGAUCUGCCCGAUAGAGGGGGAUAACCACUGGAAACGGUGGCUAAUACCGCAUAACGUCGCAAGACCAAAGAGGGGGACCUUCGGGCCUCUCACUAUCGGAUGAACCCAGAUGGGAUUAGCUAGUAGGCGGGGUAACGGCCCACCUAGGCGACGAUCCCUAGCUGGUCUGAGAGGAUGACCAGCCACACUGGAACUGAGACACGGUCCAGACUCCUACGGGAGGCAGCAGUGGGGAAUAUUGCACAAUGGGCGCAAGCCUGAUGCAGCCAUGCCGCGUGUAUGAAGAAGGCCUUCGGGUUGUAAAGUACUUUCAGCGGGGAGGAAGGCAGUGAGGUUAAUAACCUUACUGAUUGACGUUACCCGCAGAAGAAGCACCGGCUAACUCCGUGCCAGCAGCCGCGGUAAUACGGAGGGUGCAAGCGUUAAUCGGAAUUACUGGGCGUAAAGCGCACGCAGGCGGUCUGUUAAGUCAGAUGUGAAAUCCCCGGGCUUAACCUGGGAACUGCAUUUGAAACUGGCAGGCUUGAGUCUCGUAGAGGGGGGUAGAAUUCCAGG
rnacentral:rRNA from 1 species